rnacentral:rRNA from 1 species
CAGUAGCCGCGGGAACACGAGGGGGGCAAGCGUUGUUCGGAAUUAUUGGGCGUAAAGGGCUCGCAGGCGGUUUCUUAAGUCUGAUGUGAAAGCCCCCGGCUCAACCGGGGAGGGUCAUUGGAAACUGGGAAACUUGAGUGCAGAAGAGGAGAGUGGAAUUCCACGUGUUGCGGUGAAAUGCGUAGAGAUGUGGAGGAACACCAGUGGCGAAGGCGACUCUCUGGUCUGUAACUGACGCUGAGGAGCGAAAGCGUGGGGAGCAAACAGGAUUAGAUACCCCAGUAGUCCCUGUCUCUUAUAC